rnacentral:rRNA from 1 species
CGUGUAGGCGGUCUGAUUAGUCUGAUGUGAAAGCCCUGGGCUCAACCCAGGAAGUGCAUUGGAUACUGUCGGACUUGAAUACGGGAGAGGGUAGUGGAAUUCCUAGUGUAGGAGUGAAAUCCGUAGAUAUUAGGAGGAACACCGGUGGCGAAGGCGGCUACCUGGACCGAUAUUGACGCUGAGACGCGAAAGCGUGGGUAGCAAACAGGAUUAGAUACCCUGGUAGUCCACGCCGUAAACGAUGAGUACUAGGUGUUGCGGGUAUUGACCCCUGCAGUGCCGCAGCUAACGCAUUAAGUACUCCGCCUGGGAAGUACGGUCGCAAGGUUGAA